UCCUGUGUGGCUCAGUUGGUAGAGCAUGGUGUUUGCAACGCCAGCAUUGUGGGUUUGAUUCCCACGGGGGGAC
rnacentral:tRNA from 1 species